GACGAACGCAGGCGGCGUGCUUAACACAUGCAAGUCGAACGGGCUCUGUCUGGCUGUGUGCUGGGUGGGGUUAGUGGCGAACGGGUGAGUAAUACGUGAGUAACCUGCCCUCUUCUUUGGGAUAAGCCUUGGAAACGGGGUCUAAUACUGGAUAUUCCCGUCUGGUCGCAUGGCUGGGUGGGGAAAGUUUUUUCGGUGGGGGAUGGGCUCGCGGCCUAUCAGCUUGUUGGUGGGGUGAUGGCCUACCAAGGCGUCGACGGGUAGCCGGCCUGAGAGGGUGACCGGCCACACUGGGACUGAGAUACGGCCCAGACUCCUACGGGAGGCAGCAGUGGGGGAUAUUGCACAAUGGGCGCAAGCCUGAUGCAGCGACGCCGCGUGGGGGAUGACGGCUUUCGGGUUGUAAACCUCUUUCGUCGGGGGACAAGGCUCUGCUUGGUGGUGGGGU
rnacentral:rRNA from 1 species